AUAUGACAGAUUUUAGAACAAAAUUAGCUGUCAUUUUAGUCGACUCGGAAUUCAAUGAUGACAAUAUAAGAAACCGAGACAUGGAUGAUGAUGAAACCAACACGGAUCCCAACGAUUGUAUGAUUGUUGAAAGACCUCCUAACAAACCGAGAGCAUCCAACUCAUCGUCACAAGUUGAGCUCAUGUCGCAAUCAUUUAUCCUUUCACCGUUUGUCACUCCAACAAACGACAACUUAAUAGAUGAACUUUGCUUGUUCAUCAGCAUGGUUGAUGAUAUCCCGUUGCUAGAGAGCGAAUGGGUGAAAAGCUCUCAACCUUAUCCUAUUAGUUUAAACCUGAGACAAUUAAAGAACAUAUUAAAAUAUGAUGAGUACAUGGAUGCCGAUUGUUUUAACAUGGCUGUGAGGAUACUAGCAUGCCACGAUGCCCAGCUUGCUAGAGAUGUGCCAGUGCACUAUAUGGAUCUAUGAUUCUGUGUAAGUUAUUUUAAUCACAUUUUACAUUUUGCCUCAAUUCUACUAAUGUUUUCUUACAUUAUUGUAGUCCAUGUCCCACUAUGCACGAAUCCCAAGUCAUCGUGACGGUAUGGACAUUGCUAUGUCGGCACAACUGUUUGAUAACUGGCCUGACAGCAAUGAGUAUCAUAUCUCAGAAUGUGAUACGGUAAGAUUUGAAUUCAAAAUUAUUGUUUAUUUAGUUUUAAUGAAUGAUAAUGAUUGAUGUAUUUCUGAAUGCAUGCAUCAUUGUAGAUUUUAUUGCCUUGUGAUAUUCUUGGGUUAUUUUUAUUGUUCGUCUUGGACCAACAUAAAAAGGUUGUUUCUAUUCUGGACCCGCUUUCAAUACCUACUUUCGGAAAGCAUAUAUUUAAAACUAUGGCCAAUGAUCUAAACCUUGCACUCCAAGUUGCAAACCCUGCCUUCAAGGAUGACAUUUUAAUAUGGGGAUGCAAAGUUCCUAAUGUUCCCACAAACUCAUACGGUCCCAUGUCUGAUUAUUUGGUUUUCAAUUUAAUGCACUCAUGGCACGAUGAGACGCUACAUUUUCCGGUACCCAAGGAUGAUUUUGAACUGAGGAAGCGAUUUUUGGUUCAUAUUUUGAAGUAUGAAGAGAAUGAAGUUCUAAACAAUAUCCCAGUCUUAGAACGAACCAUUAUAGAUCGUAUCAAAAGAUGGACCUUCCAGAGAGGAUCAUCAUCAAAUAAUGAUUACUAGAUAAUGUUGCUUAGUUGUUAUUUUUAAGUAUUUUUGUAAUAAGUAACAUUUACAAUA